rnacentral:rRNA from 1 species
GGUCAAGUGAAGAAGCGCAUACGGUGGAUGCCUUGGCAGUCAGAGGCGAUGAAAGACGUGGUAGCCUGCGAAAAGCUUCGGGGAGUCGGCAAACAGACUUUGAUCCGGAGAUCUCUGAAUGGGGGAACCCACCUAGGAUAACCUAGGUAUCUUGUACUGAAUCCAUAGGUGCAAGAGGCGAACCAGGGGAACUGAAACAUCUAAGUACCCUGAGGAAAAGAAAUCAACCGAGAUUCCCUUAGUAGUGGCGAGCGAACGGGGAUUAGCCCUUAAGCUUCAUUGAUUUUAGCGGAACGCUCUGGAAAGUGCGGCCAUAGUGGGUGAUAGCCCCGUACGCGAAAGGAUCUUUGAAGUGAAAUCGAGUAGGACGGAGCACGAGAAACUUUGUCUGAACAUGGGGGGACCAUCCUCCAAGGCUAAAUACUACUGACUGACCGAUAGUGAACCAGUACCGUGAGGGAAAGGCGAAAAGAACCCCGGAGAGGGGAGUGAAAUAGAACCUGAAACCGUAUGCGUACAAGCAGUGGGAGCCUACUUGUUAGGUGACUGCGUACCUUUUGUAUAAUGGGUCAGCGACUUAUA